GCAGUUUGACUUUGAUGGUGUUUAUGUCGGUGCUACAAAAUCAAUUCCCUUUUUGCUGCAGAACAAGGGACAUGCGUGUACCAGAGUGGAGUUUGACUUCCAUAAAUAUAAGGAUUUUGAAUUGAAUGCUAAUGAUGAAUCAGUGUUUGACAGCUGUUCUUCAACGCCUUAUACGUAUUCGGUUAACUUAAAGGGAAAGUCAGCUUUGCAAUGCUUGUUGUCCUUCAUGCCAAAAGAGGUGGCGGCAUAUGACUUCACUCUUCCAGUUAAAUCUCCUCUGACUGAGUUCCCGUUGGCGCAGACAACCCGUGGAUCUGUGACUUCUGUGAAAUCUAUGCAGCACCUCCUUGGUCCUUCACCACAGAUGGUGACUGUGGCUGUUCCACUCUGCAGAGUUAAAGCAGUUGGUAGGUAAACUAGGGACUUAUGCACAUGGUGGGUACUUAUGUUUGUAGUGAUGUUUUUGCUUGUAGUCUGACUGCAGAGGAUUACUAGUUAAAAAAAUUUCCUUGAUAAUUGUAUAAUAUGUAAAUUUUUUGGAUACCUGCAAAAUUUUCAAAUUGUUAUUCGUAGUUUUAAAUGUGUAAGCCUGAACUUUCUUUACAUUAUUAUGAUGUGCUGGAAUUAAUAGAACUAUUUGUCUGAUGAGC
rnacentral:lncRNA from 14 species